CGAUAUGGACGGCAUCAACAUCGAUCUUAUGUUUGCGAGGUUAGCUACUCCGUCCGUUCCGGAGAGCCUAGACGUUGACGACGACCGAAUCUUCGCCGGGGUGGACAGCGCCACGGAAAAGUCCCUGAACGGACCCCGCUCCGCCAACCUCAUCGCC
rnacentral:ribozyme from 1 species